CGAAAUGCGAUAAGUAAUGUGAAUUGCAGAAUUCAGUGAAUCAUCGAAUCUUUGAACGCACCUUGCGCUCCUUGGUAUUCCUUGGAGCAUGCCUGUUUGAGUAUCAUGAAAUCUUCAAAGUAAAUCUUUUGUUAACUCAAUUGGUUUCUACUUUGGUAUUGGAGGUCUUUGCAGCUUCACACCUGCUCCUCUUUGUUCAUUAGCUGGAUCUCAGUGUUAUGCUUGGUUCCACUCGCCGUGAUAAGUUAUCUAUCGCUGAGGACACUGUAAAAGGUGGCCAAGGUAAAUGCAGAUGAACCGCUUCUAAUAGUCCAUUGACUUGGACAAUACUUUUAUGAUCUGAUCUCAAAUCAGGUAGGACUACCCGCUGAACUUAAGC
rnacentral:misc_RNA from 1 species